AAUUGACGGGGGCCCGCACAAGCGGUGGAGCAUGUGGUUCAAUUCGACGCAACGCGAAGAACCUUACCCAGGCUUGAACUGCAGGUGACAUCCUACGAAAGUAGGCUUCCGCAAGGACACCUGUAGAGGUGCUGCAUGGCUGUCGUCAGCUCGUGUCGUGAGAUGUUGGGUUAAGUCCCGCAACGAGCGCAACCCUUGUCUUCUGUUGCCAUCGGGUUAUGCCGGGCACUCUGAAGAGACUGCCGGUGACAAACCGGAGGAAGGUGGGGAUGACGUCAAGUCAGCAUGGCCUUUAUGUCUGGGGCCACACACGUGCUACAAUGGCCGGUACAAACCGUCGCGAUCUCGCGAGAGGGAGCUAAUCGGAGAAAGCCGGUCUCAGUUCGGAUUGUAGGCUGCAAAAGGGCCUGCAUGAAGUUGGAAUCGCUAGUAAUCGCGGAUCAGCACGCCGCGGUGAAUACGUUCCCGGGC
rnacentral:rRNA from 1 species